UGUUCUUGUAGCAGCUGUUGUGCC
rnacentral:siRNA from 1 species